ACGCUCGACACCUACUGGAGGCAGCAGUGGGGAAUAUUGCACAAUGGGGGAAACCCUGAUGCAGCGACGCCGCGUGGAGGAAGAAGGUCUUCGGAUUGUAAACUCCUGUUGUUGGGGAAAAAGAGGAUGGUACCCAACAAGGAAGUGACGGCUAACUACGUGCCAGAGCUGCGGUAAUCUGGAGCGGGCUGGCAAGGC
rnacentral:rRNA from 1 species